UCCCUGGUAGCUCAUCUGGUAAAGAGUCUGCCUGUAAUGCAGGAGACCCAGGUUUGAUCCCUGGGUCGGGAA
rnacentral:tRNA from 1 species